UUUCUUCUUUCCCUCUCCCAGAGACCGUGCUGAGGACGUGGUUGUCUGUCCUUCCCCCGGGGAUGCCGUUGACUGCGGCCGUCUCAGGCUUGCGUGGCUUCUCUCUGCCCGGUGUUGCCAUCCUCGCAGCGCGGGGGCGAAAAGGGACACACAGAGCCCUUCCCGGCUGUGGACAGGAGCUGCCUCGGCUGAAGCUGGAGACGCCAACGAAAGGUGGAGGACGGCCUAGAGUCUGGAGCUGCAGAAGAGGCAGGGCGGAGAGGAGGGGAAAGAAGCAUCUGAACGGCUAAAUUGUGCCAGCAGCGCUGAGAGCGAGAGUCGCGGUGCAGAUGGAUGAGUCGUGCAGGGCAACGGAGGAGAGCCCAGGGGAGCGCUGUAAGAAGGUGACAGCCCUGCGAUGCUGCGGUGCCUGCGAGGUGAUGCCGCCGUGCUCGUUGCUGCUUCCUGGUAAGGAAAGGCCUCCUCCGCUCCUGCUGCAGCGUGGUGGUGUGUCGGACACGAUUCCCUGUGUCGGGUGAGGCCUAGGGCUGCCGGUGAGGUGAGCGAGCCCCUUU